rnacentral:lncRNA from 1 species
UUUUACUAUACAGUCAGAGUUAAAAUAACAUUUCUCCAAUAGAAAGCUAAUCUGACUUAUUCUUAGGUCAGCUCCUGCUAGUUGUGAAUGUGACAGGAAAGCUGUCUCAUUAGUGCUCUAUACAUGCUUGUGUUGGAAGACUUAGCAUCCUAUUUUACUUUGCUAUUUGACAUUUUUCUCUUUAAUGUGUAAUCUAUUGAGAGAAGCAAAUCCUCAACUCAUUCUGCUCAGUGGUAAGUAAAGAAAUUGCUAAUUAUCUCAUCGUGAAUCCACAAGUACUGUAAAAUGUGGUUUGGGUGUUUUGUCUA